AAGGCCAACAAGAAUCGGAUAUAGCUGGUUUUCCGCGAAAUCUAUUUCAGUCGAGCGUAUGAUGUCGAUGGCCCGAGGUAGAGCACUCAAUGGGCUAGGGUGGCCCCCAUUUCGCUUUACCAACCCCAGGGAAACUCCGAAUACAGGCCGUCAUCCUUAGUACAGACAGACUGAUUGGGUGCUAAGAUCCAAAGUCGAGAGGGAAAC
rnacentral:ncRNA from 1 species